UUAUGCAGGGAAGCAUCUAAAGAUAUAAAACUUCCCCCAAGAACUGCUUCAUCUACAACCCAUAAAUUUUGGUGUUCCAGAACCAGAAAUAAAUUCCUUGAACACUUUGGAUUCUUAGAAUACCUAGAUUCCUUCAUGUCUCAGAGAUUUCCACAACUCCAUUCUCCUGUCCUGACUAUCUGUCUCAGUUCCAAUCUCAGCCAGCCAACUCUUCUCUGAAUUCUUCUUUCUUCAACAUGAAAAGAAUUGGGGCCAGAAGGAAGCUGAAUAAGAAAUGAACUCAUCACCUAGAAAUUCAACACAGGAAGAGAGAAAAAGAAUAAGAGUUCCCAAGAUUGAAGAGAAAUUUUGAAACAGAUGGCAGAGGAAGUGAUUCAGGGAAUUGGGACCCUUGGAAUGUAAAUGCAAAUGUGAGACAGUCCCUGAGUUCAAUGAGCUUAAAUUUGCUAUGGAUGGAAAGUAGGGGAAUACAUCUGGAAAGAUCUCUGGAGGAAAGCUUCACUUGUACUUCAAAAUAAUUAAAGGUAAAUACUCUGUGAAUCUUACAUUUCUAGACUGAU